rnacentral:rRNA from 1 species
UACGGGGGGGGCAAGCGUUGUUCGGAAUUACUGGGCGUAAAGAGCUCGUAGGCGGCUUGUCGCGUCGUCCGUGAAAACCUGCAGCUCAACUGCAGGCUUGCGGUCGAUACGGGCAGGCUCGAGUUCGGUAGAGGAGACUGGAAUUCAUGGUGUAGCAGUGAAAUGCGUAGAGAUCAUGAGGAAGACCAGUGGCGAAGGCGGGUCUCUGGACAGUUCCUGACACUGAGACACGAAGGCCAGGGGAGCAAACGGG